GGUUCAAUGGUGCAAUGUGUGCACGCCUGCUACAUAUCGCGACUUUCCCUAUGACUCUGCAGGAGGCGCCCGUUCGAUUCGGGCUUGGACCA